rnacentral:rRNA from 1 species
GCGGCGUGCCUAACACAUGCAAGUCGAACGGAGUUAUGAUGUGAGCGGGAAGUGCUUGCACUAAACAAUCUUUUCAUAACUUAGUGGCGGACGGGUGAGUAACGCGUGGGUAACCUGCCCUGUACUGGGGGACAACAGUUGGAAACGACUGCUAAUACCGCAUAAGCGCACGGGAUCGCAUGAUCGUGUGUGAAAAACUCCGGUGGUACAGGAUGGACCCGCGUCUGAUUAGCUGGUUGGUGAGGUAACGGCCCACCAAGGCAACGAUCAGUAGCCGGCCUGAGAGGGUGAACGGCCACAUUGGGACUGAGACACGGCCCAAACUCCUACGGGAGGCAGCAGUGGGGAAUAUUGCACAAUGGGGGAAACCCUGAUGCAGCGACGCCGCGUGAGUGAAGAAGUAUUUCGGUAUGUAAAGCUCUAUCAGCAGGGAAGAAAAUGACGGUACCUGACUAAGAAGCCCCGGCUAACUACGUGCCAGCAGCCGCGGUAAUACGUAGGGGGCAAGCGUUAUCCGGAUUUACUGGGUGUAAAGGGAGCGUAGACGGCAUGGCAAGUCUGAAGUGAAAUGCGGGGGCUCAACCCCUGAACUGCUUUGGAAACUGUCAGGCUGGAGUGCAGGAGAGGUAAGUGGAAUUCCUAGUGUAGCGGUGAAAUGCGUAGAUAUUAGGAGGAACACCAGUGGCGAAGGCGGCUUACUGGACUGUAACUGACGUUGAGGCUCGAAAGCGUGGGGAGCAAACAGGAUUAGAUACCCUGGUAGUCCACGCCGUAAACGAUGAUUACUAGGUGUUGGGGAUUUAUAAAUCCCCGGUGCCGUCGCAAACGCAAUAAGUAAUCCACCUGGGGAGUACGUUCGCAAGAAUGAAACUC